CGAGUUUGAUCCUGGCUCAGAUUGAACGCUGGCGGUAUGCUUAACACAUGCAAGUCGAACGGAAACGAUGGUAGCUUGCUACCAGGCGUCGAGUGGCGGACGGGUGAGUAACGCGUAGGAAUCUGCCUGAUAGUGGGGGAUAGCCCAGAGAAAUCUGGAUUAAUACCGCAUAAUCUCUAUGGAGUAAAGGAGCCCUCUUCUUGAAAGGUUUCGCUAUCAGAUGAGCCUGCGUAAGAUUAGCUUGUUGGUGAGGUAAAAGCUCACCAAGGCGACGAUCUUUAGCUGGUCUGAGAGGAUGAUCAGCCACACUGGAACUGAGACACGGUCCAGACUCCUACGGGAGGCAGCAGUGGGGAAUAUUGGACAAUGGGCGCAAGCCUGAUCCAGCAAUACCGCGUGUGUGAAGAAGGCCUGAGGGUUGUAAAGCACUUUCAAUUGUGAAGAAAAGCUAAUGGCUAAUACCCAUUAGCCUUGACGUUAACUUUAGAAGAAGCACCGGCUAACUCCGUGCCAGCAGCCACGGUAAUACGGAGGGUGCAAGCGUUAAUCGGAAUUACUGGGCGUAAAGCGUGCGUAGGUGGUUUGUUAAGUUAGAUGUGAAAGCCCUGGGCUCAACCUAGGAACUGCAUUUAAAACUGGCAAACUAGAGUAUAGGAGAGGAAAGUGGAAUUUCAGGUGUAGCGGUGAAAUGC
rnacentral:rRNA from 1 species